rnacentral:rRNA from 1 species
GACGAACGCUGGCGGCGUGCUUAACACAUGCAAGUCGAACGGAAAGGCCCUGCUUGCAGGGUGCUCGAGUGGCGAACGGGUGAGUAACACGUGGGUGAUCUGCCCCUUAUUUUGGGAUAAGCCUGGGAAACUGGGUCUAAUACUGGAUAGGACCAUGCUGUAGGUGGUGUGGUGGAAAGAUUAGUUUCGGUAAGGGAUGAGCUCGCGGCCUAUCAGCUUGUUGGUGGGGUAAUGGCCUACCAAGGCGUCGACGGGUAGCCGGCCUGAGAGGGUGGACGGCCACAUUGGGACUGAGAUACGGCCCAGACUCCUACGGGAGGCAGCAGUGGGGAAGAUUGCACAAUGGGCGCAAGCCUGAUGCAGCGACGCCGCGGGGGGGAUGACGGCCUUCGGGUUGUAAACUCCUUUCAGCCAUGACGAAGCCCUUGUGGUGACGGUAGUGGUAGAAGAAGCACCGGCUAACUACGUG